GACAGAGGUGCCGAGCGUUAGGCGGAAUCACUGGGCUUAAAGCGCGUGUAGGCGGGUCCGUAAGUGCCUUGUGAAAUCCCACGGCUCAACCGUGGAACUGCUGGGGCAUACUGCGGGUCUUGGGCCAUCUAGGGGCGAGCGGAACAAGCGGUGGAGCGGUGAAAAUGCGUAGAUAUCGCUUGGAACGCCAAUGGUGAAAAACAGCUCGCUGGGGGAUGUGCCGACGUGAGACGCGAAAAGCCAGGGGGGAGCGAAACGGGG
rnacentral:rRNA from 1 species